GAAGUUUAAAUUAAGUGUGAGACCGUUGGAGAGAGAUCUGGCAAGUUGGAGAAUUAAUUAAGAUAAAAGUCACAUGUGCAUAAGGAGAUGAGCCUGCUGUCACUUUCACCCAACCAGACUGUGCCCAUCUCUCUCCUGUCACUCUCUACUCCCUCUGGUCGAGAUUCUCCUUGGCUGCAUCCUCCUGGCUCCAUCAGAAACCCUACAAUAGUAUUAGUUUAGUAAAUCUGUACUUUAACAAUUGUUUAAUGACUUGCAACUUGUAAUUUGGCUAUAAAGCCACCCCAUUGUAACCAUUACGAAAUUAAGCUGAAUGGGGGAGUUUCCCCUUUCUUCUUCACCAUUCUCAAGUCUCUUAUACUCUCCCUGAUCUCUGGUUACAAGAAUCUCUCUCAUACUCUCUUAAAUCUCACUUAAUCUCUCUUAUUCUCCAUUGCAGUCUCUUUAACUCUCACUUACUCUCUUCACUCUGUUCUCUUUCAAUCCGACCACUCUCUGUUCUAAACAACCCUCACACACCAUAAUCUGUCUAUUCUCACAUGGUAUCAGAGCUCCAAGCUUCUGAGAAUCCAUAAAGCUUCCGCAAAUCUGUUACAGUUCAUACUUCUCUUCAAAAAUCUCUGUUUCUGUUCAUCCUUGUAUCCUCUGGUCUAAAGCUUUUCCAGGAGGGAAGAGACUCACCAGAACUCAAGAUAAAGGAGGUCUUUAGUAUCUGAAACUCAAAGCUUCCACAAUUCAAGCAUAGGCUCACCCUCAUUGUUAUUUCAAAUCAUUGGAGAGUUUCUGUCCAGCCAGCUGUUCAAUCUCUUCAAGAGGAAGAAGACUACAAACAUGGCGUGUCCAGAGACUUCCCAAGGUCUAUCACCCUUCCUCCUGUUCAGCCUGAAGAUAUCUCUUGGAGAAAGAAGGUUUUGGAGCUGUUUGGCAAGCAAUGCUCCAAACCAAGUCUGUACAAGUGAUUUUCAAGUUCUUCCCAAAAUGGAGUCUCUCACUGUGUGCCAGAAGGUGGCGCCUGGUAAUCAGGAAGAAAGGAGGGGUCUUAAGCAUGAGUGGUCUAAAGGGAAAGCACA
rnacentral:lncRNA from 1 species